rnacentral:rRNA from 1 species
GACGAACGCUGGCGGCGUGCUUAACACAUGCAAGUCGAACGGAAAGGCCCUGCUUUUGUGGGGUGCUCGAGUGGCGAACGGGUGAGUAACACGUGAGUAACCUGCCCUUGACUUUGGGAUAACUUCAGGAAACUGGGGCCAAUACCGGAUAGGAGCUCCUGCUGCAUGGUGGGGGUUGGAAAGUUUCGGCGGUUGGGGAUGGACUCGCGGCUUAUCAGCUUGUUGGUGGGGUAGUGGCUUACCAAGGCUUUGACGGGUAGCCGGCCUGAGAGGGUGACCGGCCACAUUGGGACUGAGAUACGGCCCAGACUCCUACGGGAGGCAGCAGUGGGGAAUAUUGCACAAUGGGCGGAAGCCUGAUGCAGCAACGCCGCGUGCGGGAUGACGGCCUUCGGGUUGUAACCCGCUUUCGCCUGUGACGAAGCGUGAGUGACGGUAAUGGGUAAAGAAGCACCGGCUAACUACGUG